UGGGGAAUUUUCCGCAAUGGGCGAAAGCCUGACGGAGUGACGCCGCGUGUGGGACGAAGGCCUUCGGGUCGUAAACCACUGUCAGUGGGAAAGAUGGGUGUCGGCGCUAAUACCGCCGGCAUCUGACGGUACCUGCAGAGGAAGCCCCGGCCAACUCUGUGCCAGCAGCCGCGGUAAGACAGAGGGGGCAAGCGUUGCUCGGAAUUACUGGGCGUAAAGGGCGCGUAGGCGGGAUGGCAAGUCGGUCGUGAAAUCCCUCGGCUCAACUGAGGAAUGUCGAUCGAUACUGCUGUUCUUGAGGAUUGCAGAGGAGACUGGAAUUCCCGGUGUAGCGGUGAAAUGUGUAGAGAUCGGGAGGAACACCGGUGGCGAAGGCGGGUCUCUGGGCAAUUCCUGACGCUGAGGCGCGAAAGCGUGGGGAGCAAACGGGAUUAGAUACCCCGGUAGUCCACGCUGUAAACGAUGAGCACUAGGUGUGGGGGGGUUCAGUCCCCUCCGUGCCGCAGCUAACGCAUUAAGUGCUCCGCCUGGGGAGUACGGCCGCAAGGUUGA
rnacentral:rRNA from 1 species